GUCGAGAAUUUUUCUCAAUGGGGGAAACCCUGAAGGAGCGACGCCGCGUGGAGGAUGAAUGCUUUCGGGUUGUAAACUCCUGUCAUUUGGGAACAAAGCCUUACGUUAACUGCGUGGAGGUUUGAUAGUACCGAAAGAGGAAGAGACGGCUAACUCUGUGCCAGCAGCCGCGGUAAUACAGAGGUCUCAAGCGUUGUUCGGAUUCAUUGGGCGUAAAGGGCGCGUAGGCGGCGGGGUAAGUCGGGUGUGAAAUCUCAGAGCUCAACUCUGAAACUGCACUCGAUACUGCUCUGCUUGAGGACUGGAGAGGAGACUGGAAUUCACGGUGUAGCAGUGAAAUGCGUAGAUAUCGUGAGGAAGACCAGUGGCGAAGGCGGGUCUCUGGACAGUUCCUGACGCUGAGGCGCGAAGGCCAGGGGAGCAAACGGGAUUAGAUACCCCUGUAGUCC
rnacentral:rRNA from 1 species